rfam:Picoides pubescens contig33101, whole genome shotgun sequence.
GUGUUAGAUGCCAAGUGUUAAUAGCGACGUUGCUUUUUGAUCCUUCGAUGCUGGCUCCUCCUAUCAUUGUGACGCAGAAUUUGCCAAGCACUGGAUUGUUCACUCCUAGCAGGGAAUGUGAGCUGGGUUUACACCAUUGCUGUCUACAACUACCUGAAAGGAGGUUGUUGACAGGUG